rnacentral:tmRNA from 1 species
GGGGGUGAACGGUUUCGACUUUGUGCGUCGAUUCAAGGGAAGCGUGCCGGUGCAGGCGAGAGACCACCGCAAGCGUCAUCGCAAACCAAUAAGCGCCGAGUCUAACGACCAGCGCGCGUUCGCCCUCGCCGCCUGAGGCUAGGAGCGACGCUGUCGGCCCGGAGGAGCCUCCGCUCCGGUCGCCGGCAUCAGCUAGGAGGCUCACCACCGCCCUCGGCCACGGGGAGCGGUUGGGACACCCACAGUGGCUGGGCCCGUCACGGUCGCUUGUCCGCGUGAUGACCGGGGUCGAGUAGAGACGUAGCGGACUGCGCACGGAGAAGCCUUGAUGAGCCGGCAGAGGACCCGGGUUCGAUUCCCGGCACCUCCACUC